CUUAAAGGAAUUGACGGGCCCGCACAAGCAGCGGAGCGUGUGGUUAAUUCGAUGCUACACGAGAACCUUACCAGGGUUUGACAUACAAGUAGUAGGGAAAGGAAACUGGACCGACCCUUCGGGGAGCUUGUACAGGUGCUGCAUGGCUGUCGUCAGCUCGUGUCGUGAGAUGUUCGGUUAAGUCCGCUAACGAGCGCAACCCUCGUCGUAUGUUAUAUGUGUCAUACGAGACUGCCGGUAAAAAGCCGGAGGAAGGUGAGGAUGAUGUCAAGUCAGCAUGACCUUUAUAUCCAGGGCUACACACACGCUACAAUGGUCUGUACAAUGGGUAGCCAAGCCGCGAGGCGGAGCCAAUCCUGAAAGCAGGCCUCAGUUCAGAUUGCAGUCUGCAACUCGACUGCAUGAAGCCGGAGUUGCUAGUAACCGCAGGUCAGCAAUACUGCGGUGAAUACGUUCCCGGGUCUU
rnacentral:rRNA from 1 species